GCCGCUGUAGCUCAGUGGUAGAGCGCACCCUUGGUAAGGGUGAGGUCACGGGUUCAAAUCCCAUCAGCGGCU
rnacentral:tRNA from 1 species